rnacentral:snRNA from 1 species
UUCCCUUUAGGGACAUCUGAUAAAAUUGAAACGAUACAGAGAAGAUUAGCAUGGUAAAAUUAAAAUGAUACAGAGAAGAUUAACAUGGCCCCUGUGCAAGGAUGACACGUACAAAUUGAUACAAGAAUGACAGCGGA